CUCUGUUAUUUAAAUAUAUAACCAUGCUAUGUUAUAAUAAGAGCACUUGUAGAAUUUUAGUAACUAUAAAAAUAUUUCAGUAGCAAAGCCAAGAUUAUAAAUGUUUUGAUCCCCUACAGAAUGGAGUAAAAGUGAUGAAUUGCAUUGUAUGAGAAUCAGUAACUAAAACAAUCUUAUACCUGCAGCGAAACAGAUAGAUAAAUAAGAGAUACAAUCUAGGUAACUUUCUUUGAGGCAAAGUCUACAAUGAAUGUCUCACAAUCUGCUGGUAAUUUCUUUGUGUCAAAAUUUUGAGACUAGAUCACUACAGGAAAAAAUGAAAGUCUAACAGCUAUCUCAGAUUUGAGCUAUGUGAACUUUUAGUCAAGAUGAUUUGUGAUUAAAGUGAAAAUUUAGCCACUGCCUUGUCUUUGUUCUAUGUUAGCCCAUUUAGUAGAGAUAUGGGCCUGGAGAAUAGUCAGUCCAUUGCAGCAAACAUAAUCCUUAUAACUAAUUAUCACAGCCUGGGUAACAGUAAAGUAAUGCACAUUAGCUACUGGG
rnacentral:lncRNA from 1 species